GACGAACCGUGCGAACGUUGUUCGGAUUCACUGGGCUUAAAGGGCGCGUAGGCGGGUGACCAAGUCCGGGGUGAAAUCUUUCGGCUCAACCGGAAAAGUGCCUUGGAUACUGGUCAUCUUGAGGGAGGUAGGGGCAUGCGGAACUUCCGGUGGAGCGGUGAAAUGCGUAGAUAUCGGAAGGAACGCCGGUGGCGAAAGCGGCGUGCUGGACCUCUUCUGACGCUGAGACGCGAAAGCGUGGGGAGCGAACAGG
rnacentral:rRNA from 1 species